GUCUAUUUGUGCUAAGCAGGAUGUCUCAUUUCUGUCUGUGUCUGCUGUUUUGUAUGAUUUUGCAAAUAAUUCAUAGCGCUACAGUGGAGCUUACAGUUCGACCAGAAGAAAACAUUACAUUGUCCUUCUGCAACAUAUCUACCAGCAGUGAAGUGGCAUGGUACCGACAAAGCUCAGAUAAGACCACACUUCUGAUUCGUGCUGUGAGAGCUGAAAUUGGGAAAAGCCUUUUGAUGCAACAUAAUGAAGAUAAGAAUCGCUUCAAACUAACAGCAGACAGAGAGAUCACCAUGACCAACCUAACCAUAAUUGGGGUCAGAGAGGGCUGAUUUGGGACUCUAUUUUUGUGAGACCACAGCUGCUGGUCACAAAUGCAGAGAGCCACCAGACUGCAAUUUCAAAGUGAAAAGGGAAAAGAUUACUUGGAAGAAGCAUCGCAAAAAGAAGAAGAGAAGCACACUGGCGGAGUGAGUGUGGUAGAGAGAGCGCUGAUGUUUGGUGGGGUUGGUCUGGCUGCUCUGGUCUUUCUCCUGGCUACAGUGGCUGCAUUUAGAGUGGUCUACAAUCGAGCCUGGCAGUCAGGCUGGACAGCAGGGAGAGACUCAGCUCACCACUGAUUAAAGGAGACGCUCCCUCUGCGCAUAUAAAACAGGGCUGAAGAAAAGAUAAUGCUUUGCUCCAUAUGUAAUUGCUAAAAUAGGUUAAUUGUGUGUCUAGUGUCGUGUUAACAGAAAUGUUUGCUCCAUGUUGAAUCUCUCUCUGUCUUAGUAUGUCUGCUCCCAUAGAAAUACCACUUUGCUAUCAAAUUAUCUGAUGUUUUUUCCUACAGAAUUGUAUAACUUUUCACUUUGUUUAUCUGCAUCUUCAUCUUUCACAACUGUUGUAAUCUUGCUUGGUCUGACAUUA